rnacentral:rRNA from 1 species
GACGAACGCUGGCGGCGUGCUUAACACAUGCAAGUCGAACGGAAAGGCCCUGCUUUUGUGGGGUGCUCGAGUGGCGAACGGGUGAGUAACACGUGAGUAACCUGCCCUUGACUUUGGGAUAACUUCAGGAAACUGGGGCUAAUACCGGAUAGGAGCUCCUGCUGCAUGGUGGGGGUUGGAAAGUUUCGGCGGUUGGGGAUGGACUCGCGGCUUAUCAGCUUGUUGGUGGGGUAGUGGCUUACCAAGGCUUUGACGGGUAGCCGGCCUGAGAGGGUGACCGGCCACAUUGGGACUGCGAUACGGCCCAGACGCCUACGGGAGGCAGCAGUGGGGAAUAUUGCACAAUGGGCGGAAGCCUGAUGCAGCGACGCCGCGUGCGGGAUGACGGCUUUCGGGUUGUAAACCGCUUUCGCCUGUGACGAAGCGUGCGUGACGGUAAUGGGUAAAGAAGCACCGGCUAACUACGUG